rnacentral:rRNA from 1 species
GGAAAGGCGAAAAGAACCCCGGCGAGGGGAGUGAAAAAGAACCUGAAACCGUGUACGUACAAGCAGUGGGAGCACAGGUUUACCUGUGUGACUGCGUACCUUUUGUAUAAUGGGGCAGCGACUUAUAUUCUGUAGCAAGGUUAACCGAAUAGGGGAGCCGGAGGGAAACCGAGUCUUAAUUGGGCGUUAAGUUGCAGGGUAUAGACCCGAAACCCGGUGAUCUAGCCAUGGGCAGGUUGAAGGUUGGGUAACACUAACUGGAGGACCGAACCGACUAAUGUUGAAAAAUUAGCGGAUGACCUGUGGCUGGGGGUGAAAGGCCAAUCAAACCGGGAGAUAGCUGGUUCUCCCCGAAAGCUAUUUAGGUAGCGCCUCGUGAAUUCAUCUCCGGGGGUAGAGCACUGUUUCGGCUAGGGGGCCAUCCCGGCUUACCAACCCGAUGCAAACUGCGAAUACCGGAGAAUGUUAUCACGGGAGACACACGGCGGGUGCUAACGUCCGUCGUGAAGAGGGAAACAACCCAGACCGCCAGCUAAGGUCCCAAAGUCAUGGUUAAGUGGGAAACGAUGUGGGAAGGCCCAGACAGCCAGGAUGUUGGCUUAGAAGCAGCCAUCAUUUAAAGAAAGCGUAAUAGCUCACUGGUCGAGUCGGCCUGCGCGGAAGAUGUAACGGGGCUAAACCAU